UCAGAACCUCAAUUUUUGCUUCUAGUUUUCCACGGUCUUGAGCAAGAGAAGCACCUGGAUAAACACAACAUUACAGCACUGCAGAUCUUGAAGGCAUUUUCCAAGCAAAUUUCAGGAAAGUGAACAUUUUAUGCAAGUGUGGACAUACAUAUAACGCCUGCAUGGAGCAAACUGCUAUACUGGAACCUUAAUUUGUAACUACACAAUUUUUUUGGAAAAUGUUCAACAGUGGCUACUUAAUGGUAUUAAACACUUGCUGUUUAGACCUUUGGGCACUUCUAUAACAAAUGAUCAGUAAUAAUGCUUACAGAUCUAAGCUAAGCAAUCUCAAAGAGACCACCAGAUGGUGCUAAAUCUGUACUGCUAGUUAUGUUGCAGCAGAACAAGAAGGAUAAAAGCUACAACAUCACUUAUUGCUCCAACAUUUAAAUUGGUCUUCAAGGACACCUGCAAUUUGAUUUUCACUUUGGGGGAUGAAGGUGGAAAUGGGCAUUCUGUGACACAGGUAUCAAUACCACUAUGAAAUACAGAGGGCUGGAUGUUUGUCAAGCCUGUGUGGAAUAAACAUAGAGAAGUGAAAGUGCAGCCUAAAACCGCUGCUCAGAAAGGAGUGGGACAUGGGUCCCUGCCCAGAGAGAAGUGACAGAGAGAGGAACCUGAGGGGCAUUCCUGGAGCAGACCACAGAAGGUUGAGUAACUCCUUGAAACUGACACUUACCACCUGCAAAAGAAGCUACUGCUGUCAAAAGCUGAUGUAGCACUUCAACAAACUGGUUCCAGGUGCUUAGCCAGCAACUUCAGUGCUUAGCUAGAGACUUCAGCAACUCCACCAGUGGUUUCUUUACAACUUCAUCAACAAACAUGUACUGCUUUAAUAUUAAAUUUUUAUUUCAAUGGUUUUAA